rnacentral:rRNA from 1 species
AUUGAACGCUGGCGGCAGGCCUAACACAUGCAAGUCGAGCGGUAGAGAGGUGCUUGCAUCUCUUGAGAGCGGCGGACGGGUGAGUAAUGCCUAGGAAUCUGCCCUAGUGGUGGGGGAUAACGUUCGGAAACGGACGCUAAUACCGCAUACGUCCUACGGGAGAAAGCGGGGGAGUCUUCGGACCUCGCGCCAUUAGAUGAGCCUAGGUCGGAUUAGCUAGUUGGUGAGGUAAUGGCUCACCAAGGCGACGAUCCGUAACUGGUCUGAGGGGAGUGAUCAGUCACACUGGAACUGAGACACGGUCCAGACUCCUACGGGAGGCAGCAGUGGGGGAAUAUUGGACAAUGGGCGAAAGGACCCUGAUCCA